AUUGAGUCAUAAUCGACACAUGUACGAGUCGCAUUUAGGAAUUUGAGACGCGUAUUAAAAAAAAAAAAAAAAAAAUAAAUAAAAAAGAAAAAUAAAGGUGACGAGCCGAGAAGUUGCGUCG